GUACGCUAUUCAGAGUUUGAUCCUGGCUCAGGACGAACGCUGGCGGCGUGCCUAACACAUGCAAGUCGAGCGAGAAUCUGCUAAUUGACUCCUUCGGGAUGAUUUUGGCAGAGGAAAGCGGCGGACGGGUGAGUAACGCGUGAGUAACCUGCCCCAUAGAACGGAAUAGCCUAGUGAAAACUGGAUUAAUGCCGUAUGACGCAUUUAAACCGCAUGGUUUUGAUGUUAAAGAUUUAUCGCUAUGGGAUGGACUCGCGUCUGAUUAGAUAGUUGGUGAGGUAACGGCUCACCAAGUCGACGAUCAGUAGCCGAACUGAGAGGUUGAUCGGCCACAUUGGGACUGAGACACGGCCCAG
rnacentral:rRNA from 1 species